rnacentral:rRNA from 1 species
ACUCAAAUGAAUUGACGGGGGCCCGCACAAGCGGUGGAGCAUGUGGUUUAAUUCGAUGCAACGCGCAGAACCUUACCAGCCCUUGACAUGGGCGUCGCGGAAUCCAGAGAUGGGUUUCUUCGGGUAAUGCCGGACGCCACACAGGUGCUGCAUGGCUGUCGUCAGCUCGUGUCGUGAGAUGUUGGGUUAAGUCCCGCAACGAGCGCAACCCUCGCUUUCAGUUGCCAUCAUUCAGUUGGGCACUCUGAAGGAACUGCCGGUGACAAGCCGGAGGAAGGUGGGGAUGACGUCAAGUCCUCAUGGCCCUUACGGGCUGGGCUACACACGUGCUACAAUGGCGGUGACAGUGGGCAGCUACUUCGCAAGAAGAUGCCAAUCCCAAAAAGCCGUCUCAGUUCGGAUUGCACUCUGCAACUCGAGUGCAUGAAGUUGGAAUCGCUAGUAAUCGCGGAUCAGCAUGCCGCGGUGAAUACGUUCUCGGGCCUUGCACACACCGCCCGU